rnacentral:rRNA from 1 species
AAUCUUGCGCAAUGGGCGAAAGCCUGACGCAGCGACGCCGCGUGGGGGAGGAAGGUCUUCGGAUUGUAAACCCCUGUUGCCCGGGACGAAUCCGGCAUUUCGAUGCCGUUGACGGUACCGGGUGAGGAAGCACCGGCUAACUCCGUGCCAGCAGCCGCGGUAAUACGGAGGGUGCGAGCGUUGUCCGGAAUCACUGGGCGUAAAGGGCGCGUAGGUGGUGGGGUAAGCGUGUGGUGAAAGCUCGGGGCUCAACCCCGAGUCGGCCAUGCGAACUGCUCGACUUGAGCACUGUAGAGGCAGACGGAAUUCCGGGUGUAGCGGUGGAAUGCGUAGAGAUCCGGAAGAACACCGGUGGCGAAGGCGGUCUGCUGGGCAGUUGCUGACACUGAGGCGCGACAGCGUGGGGAGCAAACAGG